ACUCGGUGACACGCCUGAACCUCCACCAGCUUAAGAUUUGCCUUCAGAUCCUGCCUUCGCUUUGUAAUAGGUCUUAAAUACCUCCAGAAUCCCACGCAAGCUUUAAUUCCUGAUUAGAUGAAGGUGAUAAGGUGUUUUAAUAGUAGUAUUCACUUAAAAAUCAGAUGAAAAAUGGCCAUAGACAAACAUUUAAGAAGUUGUGUAUAAGAGAAUUCAGUUCUGUUACUUAAAGAUUCUGAAUCUAUUGUGUCCAAUAAUUUACUUGAAAAGCAGUGAAUUAAGAACAUAAAAUACUUAGCCUUAACUAAAUAUAAUAAAACACUUUAAAAACACCUAAAAACACGUGAAGCAGGUAUAAAACAUGUGAAAUAAUCUUAAAACAACGGGAUCAAUAAGUCUAGCAUAGGUUUCAGCCGAGAAUUAAAUAUAAAACACUCAAAACACAUUAAAACACAUGGAUUAAAUACUGGAAGCCCUCAUAUUUAACUAAACAUACUAAAACACCGAGAAAAACGAGAAAUGAGCUAAAAAAACAACAGGAUCAAGAAUUCUUUCAUUGGUUUUAUCCGAAGAUUCAGUCAUCUAUUGCGUCGCUUUGUUAAGGGACGACUCAAAGGAGGCGAGGAGGAAGUACAGCAAGGUGGUGUGGGGAUUUGUCACCUCUGGACCAAAUGAGGCUCUUGUCAUAUCGGGUGUGAAGUGAGCGGCUUCCGCUUCGCCAUCCCGUGAACGGCCCGCAGGAAUGAAUCUCUGCCAACACCUGCUUCAGCACUGCUGGCAUCUGGUCGUCAAAUAGCGGUGCCACGCCGGGCCUGACGUGCUCCGUUGCAAUCAGGGAGUCGAGUUUCACAAGGAAGACUGGCCGAGCAUCGCCGCCUUCAAGCCCCACAAGAGUUGUUCAGUAUCGUUGGCACAGAGCAGAGGGCCUGGUACAAGAGUUUUCAUUGCAGUCAAGGAAGUCAAGAAUUUUAAGCAGGAGUUUAGACUCAAACAGUUAACGGCAGGAAGAACGCCUGAAAUUCCCUUCAAGUUGCGGGGGGACAAUGGGCAACCUUCAACACUUGCGGAGGCACAAGAGUUGUGGGCAGUUUCGCCAGGAAGAGUUUGUUCUGCACUCAAGUUGACACAAGGACUCAAGAAUGAGCAAGAGUUCUCUAGUCUGGGAAGAAUGUAGCAAGUCCCUCUUCUGUACUCAACAACCACCACCACCACCAUUCAGGCUUGGGGUAAGCUUUGUACAUUCCAUUACUUCAGUAAUAAGGAAAAGAAGUGCCAUGUCUAUCCUGUUGUGUGUUUAUUAACUUGUCAUACACUAAAACAAUAAAAAUUCAAUAUAC